AAUUGAGGCACAGCUGUGUGGGCUGGCCUUCUGGGUGCUCAGCCUGACAGCCGCCUCAUCUGUAGGGGAAGACUGAUGUCAUUACUGAAAUUGGUGACCUCCUGCAGACAUUAGUGAGGAUUAAUGAGUACCUGUUGGCUGUGGUGAGCUCUUGCUUCAUUCUCUUCUCAGAGGCAACCCUGCUGUAGGGUUGAAUGUAGUAAGAUAUUCAAGGAAGCUGGAGAAAUGGAACUUAACUUUUGCUGGAGAAAUGGAACUUAACUUUUGCUGGAGAAAUGGAACUUAACUUUUGCUCUCUUGGAAAUGGGAGACCAUCUUUUGCUUGGUUAGGACAAAUGUAAAUUUCCAGCAUUCUGGGUGGAGAGCACCAGAUUUUGGUAACUUUGGGAGCAUGGGAUCAGCUACUUCAUUGAGAGUCUGGGGCUCAGAGGACUGGUAGGAAUCUUGAGAAGGACAUAGUAUGGUCCUGUGGAAAUAACCUGCUCUCUGGAGUUGCAGAGGUCAGAGCUGGAAUCUAGUUUUUCCCAAUCUCUGUAGAAUUACUUAAUAAGAAUAGUGAUGGCUACUUGUCAGAAUUGUAGUGAGGAUGAAACAAUGACCUCAGUUGUGAAGGACCUGUGACACAGUGACUGACACAUAUGAUUAUUUGAAAAUAUUAAUUUCCUUUUUCAGCUGGUUCAUCGAGGAACUUCUAGGCAAACUGUUGUGGAGAGAGAUUGGUGGGGAGGGCCAGCCUAGCUUGUAACUGUUAGUAUUUAUUUGACCUUGGAUGUGACUUCACUUCCUUUGCUGGGUCUUGAAGGUCUGUCUUAGCGUUAAAAUUCUUAGAUAGGCACCUGGUCUUUUUUUUAGACUUACAGAUAAGAAUCUGUCCUUUCUUAAAGAGUUGUUUUUGAAAUUUAAUGCAUUUCUUUUUCCUCUUCUGUACCUGUUUUCUCCAAUAUGGUAGCCACCAGCACACAUGUGGCUCUUUAGAUGUAAAUUAAUUAAACUCAAAACUAAAAAUUCAGUUUCUCAACUGCGCUAGUCACAUUUCAAGUACCCAAAGACUACAGAUGGUUAAUGACUACCACAUUGGCCAGUGUAGCUAUAGAACAUUCCUACUGGCGGUAGAAACUUCAAUAGCUUCAUUCAUAUGAAUCUUGGUAAGGCUAGAACUCUUAUUCCCUCGCUUUGGAUUGCCAAAAUGGUUGGUACCUGCAGUAAUGACCCACAAUAGGAUCUUUGUUCAGAUAUUUGUUUGAGUCUUCUUAAAGUUUCAAACUUACAAGGUACAAGGUAAAGUUAGCCUCUGUUUACCCUGUAAACAAUCUCACCAGCUUUCCAGACAUUCACCAAAUCACAGGGAUUGAUUUGUGUUUGGGUGAAAGUUGAUAGGCAGGCAUCUUGUCAAGCAGGAUCGUUUAGAAAGAAUGUGUUUGAAUUGAGUUUGCUCUGAGGAGUAUUUAACACUUCAAUAUUGUUUUCUAUUUAUACAAAUAUCUAAACAAGAUUUAUACAUUCUAGUGUUUUUCUUAGUUCUGGAAUGACUGUACGUCCAGAUAUUAACAUGGGCUAAUAAGCCUGUCAUGCUGAUCGCAUUUGGGUGUGAGUAACUAGGUGUUUGUCAUAUGUAUUUUUGUUUCACCUCGUCUUCUGUUUCUCUUUGUGUUUUCUUCUCAGCAUUGAGUUAGUAGCGAAAAGACCUCAUGUUUAUUCUCUUCCACCACUCCACAUCCCUUUCUUGCUUUCUUAUUAAUUAAACAUUGUCUGUGGAAGUUGCUGAGAAUGCAGAAUGAUCACAGUGUGGUUUCUGCUUUGGAGGGGAUCCCAGUUCCUCAUGUGGAAGUGGGGAGGGUAAUGCAUGGCCUGGGUGCCUUCCUGCUUGGGUAGUGGAUUUACUGAAAGCCUAAGCCUGAGGGGCUGUGUAGACGGCUCGUUACACUAGUGUAUGUUCUUGGCCUCCUCUUUAACGGGUGGGCUCUGAACGAGGUGCUUCAUGGAAUGAGUUUUCUAGAGAGAUGCCAAGAGGGAGAGGAGGUGUUCCUUGGAGCAGGUUAUGUGAGAGGACCUAUUCCAGCUAUUGAGAGGGAACGUCUGCGGAAGACGAAUGGAACAGCUAUGGAAUAGCCCUGGGCAGAGGAAAGGAGGUGAAAUCCAGUUUUCUGUCCUUCUCUCUGUACACUGUUUAUAGGUGCUCUCUUGUUUUAAAAAAAAAAAAAAAGGGAGAAAAAAGACAGCGGUGGGGGGCAAACUUUUCAAUUUGCAGAGUAAUGUUGAGCCCUGCUGAUGAAGAAGGGAUAUUUAUUUAGAGACUGUUAAUGAUGUUUUAAAGGUCUCUGCAGUGGGCCCCAGUGCUAGGGAUGAGCCUUUUUAAAUAGGAAGCCGCACUCCUAUGUUAGCACAGGUGCUGGGAUGUGGCAGCUGGGGACAUGGUUACCACACUCUGUUGGUUUACCCCGUAACCCACUGUGAGGGCUUCCGCAUUGUUGGUGAACUCUCAUAGGACUGUUGGGUAGCCUGAGUGCAGUAACUUCAUUUAAGACUGUGAUGAUUUGUAAUGAGGCAAAUACGUUUCCAAAUUGUAUCAGUUAGUUUAUUGGAGUUAGGUAUCUGGCUGUCUUGAUGUGUACAGAUCUGUGCUUGACUAAGUGAAGUUGGAAUAGGGUAAAUUUUUCCUUGUUUCUUGAGCUCCUCACUUUUUAAUUUUGCUUUUGAACUUGGAUCUAGUGUUUUUAAGGGUCUUAAAUCAUUUUUACCAAGUUGUCUUUUUAAAACCCAAAUAUUUUAACCACCUGCUAAGGAAGUAGUCAUACUGGAAGGGUUUUAAGAAAUACUAUUCUCUUCCUGGGACCAGGUAGGUGCCAUAUUCCUAGCUUUGCUAUGGUAAAGGGAAUGCUUUAAAAAAACAAACAAACAAACAAACAAAAAAACAAAGCAAAAAACUUAGUGGAAAGGGAGUCUUAAAUAUUGGGGAAGACAGAGAUACUGUGCAUUUUGGCUUGACAAUUUUGAGGUGACUCUCUUGACUAAAUAAUAGAGCACACAGAUGUGGGCCACUAUACAGAAUUGGUUAUAAAGGCGUUUGUUGGAAGGACCUUCCCUUAUCCCCAUCUAGUUGAUUAUUUUUCUUAGAUGUUGUAGUCCUAGAAAAAUGAAAUGAAAUCUGUGAAAAUGGUAGCCUUGUGAAGAGCCCACAAGUGCAUAAAGUAGAAAUAGACACAGCCCUAUCCAAGGUAGGCUUAGAUGUGGACAGAAGGGUGAAUUAAGGAAGUAUUUCUGCUGCUACCUUUGGAAUACGGACCUGGUUAACUGACACUAGCCAUUCUCUGUUUGCUAAUUUUCAUGGCACCCAUCACCUUUUAAUUAGAGUGGCUGGCUUCUCUUGGGCUUUGAGCAGCCAAGAAUCAGCUGAGUUCAUCUUUGUAUCCCUAGCAUCUAGUACGGUGCCUGGCACCUAGUAGGCUUUCAAUAUGUGUGCGUUGAAUGAGUGAACCAUUUGUAUGUGCAAAAUUGGAUCUUUGUGUUUGAGCCAGAGGGGCUGCCUGUCAGCCUUCGUGAGGACACUACUGGGGGAGCUUGUGCACUGACCGAGCAGCCGAGGUCUUCUGUAAACCAUGAACACGCCUGCGCAUGAUUUUUCUCUUUCUGGUCUUUAUCAAGGCAGGCAUACCUUAUGCACGCUCUCCUGCUUGUAUGUAGUAACUUCUCCGAAGAUGGUGAGGUCCUUUGGAACCUUAGAAUGUCUUAUGGCCUGGGAGUGAAGAAGCAGGAGUGAGGCUGAAAGAGCCAUUCAUUCUUUCCUCCACACCUGGCUUCUUCCCACUCUGUACCUUUGCUCAUUCUUCCUCCCUUCACCUAGAAUGCUUGUUCUCUUGCCUUCCAGUGGCUGUCCGCCAGUAGAGGACUCUGGAGGUGAUAGCCAUCCUUCUAGCUUGUAUCUGACUUGUGUUAAAAGAUUAUGUUUUGGAUCAAUGGGGAAAAUCCUUUUUUCCUGCCCUGUAUACCCAGUAUAUAGUUGGUUUGUAGGUGACUGUGUCAUUGGUUGGGCACAGUGUCUCUUGAGCUGUGCUGGGACACCGCGGUUUGAGAGCAUGGAGGGCAGCAACCAGGAGAUGAUACUCGCCUUCUCCGUUUAAACUGAGCUUUAGUUGUUCAUAAGCAAAAUGGAAAGUUAGCAUGACUGAGUGGGAGAAUGUAUAGGAUGCUUAUGGGGGGGCUCUCAGUAGAUGCUUAAUAAAUAGAGGUUCCUUCCUGUCUUUUUAUUUCAAAUGGAAAAGAAGGUAAAAAGGGAUUUUGUUUUGAAAUCAAGAGGUGCUCAUCUCAAUAAGCCUCGCCAGAGGAUGUUGAUGAGUACAUACUUCUUGUCAUAGUUUGGUCACAUCUGACUUGUUUUUUGAAUUGCUAUGAAAUUUAUUUAGACAUGUGGGACAGAUAACACCUAAGAUGAUAGUUCACCAAAGACUGGUAGCCUGAGGAGAAGAAAAGACCAGGAGAGCAAGAGACAUUGAAAAUCUCUGUCAUGGUGUAUUCAUAAAUCUUAGACAUGGUGUAUUGCCUAAAUUUUAGAUCAGGUCCAAGGCUGCCGUGGGAAGAGGAGUUUUAUGAUAAAUGAGCUCACACACAUCCUUUGCCUCAUGCCCUCUUGCAGAGGGGGGGAAGCCAGAACUCCAAGGAUGCUCACUCCCGGGGCAACAACAAGAGGAGCUACUUGUUUGGCUAUCUUUGUUCACAGCAGCAAUCUUAUUUGAAGUUCUUUUCUUCAGCAAAAAGAGCAGAAUAGAAGUGGUUUCAUAUUCUUGCCCUUGGGGUUCCCACUCUGCAUGGGGUCACAAGAGUUAGAUCCUUUAUUCUGGAUCCUGAAAUGCCAGUUGUUUUAUUUUUACAAAUGCAUCUCAUGGUUUGGCGAAAGUGAGAACUGUUUCUGUGAACUUCCCCGUGGCUGUACUCAACACAGUUGCUGCAGCAUUUUUAGAAAAUAAAUUAAAGCGCAGUGAUGUUUUACAGGGACCACUUUAAGAACCGACGUAACUCCUGGUGAGUUAGCAUAACAAGUAACAGAACACGUCUUGACAUACCAGUUUUAACUCUUGUGUCCUAGUUUCUGAAGCAGUUAAAGUAAACGGACUUACGGAUAUGACCUACUUCAUGGAAACACGUACGCAUGAAUGGUUCCCGAAGAGUUGACUGGUCCUUCAGAGUGCUCCCUCUUUGUUUGGAGGUUUUGGUGCUCCGUGGGAGACUUACCUUCAGCAGGAUGCAAGGGGAGGUUGCCCUUAAGGAAAGUGUGUGUGCCUUUGCCUUCACUUCUUCUGCCUGUCCGGAAGUGAAUCCUUCUGGAAUCUUCAUUAAGAGAUUCUAGGAAGCUUGGGUUAAUCAAGCGUGAGUGAUCUUUUCUGUCUUCACCUGUGUUUUCUGGGUAUUCAGGUGAAAAGUCACACAGAGGUUGGAAGGGAGCCUGCCCACCUCCACAGAGAGCCUGAUGUCCACAGAAGCUGGCUAAAGGUCCCUGGGGGCUUCAGCUCUACCUGCAUUAUAAAAGCUCUUAAAAAUAGGAGUGUGGUGAGGGGAGGACCGGGAGGGCAGAGAGAAGGAAGAGUCUUGCUUUCUGGGAGGAGAGAUGUUAAAUUUAGCUGAUGUUAAAUUUACUUCCUUAGGCACCCUGGGAAGGGGUGAGCAGGUGGGCAUGAACAUCUAGAGGAGACUUUUGAGGUGGAGGCUCUGAAGUUGCUUGACUUUUGUAUGUUUGGUGGUAGUUUGGGAGGUAGCACUACAUUAGUCUCUGGGCUUUGUGACUUCCUCGUGCGAGAGUGUACUUUCUCUUCUGGAAUUCAUUUCUAGCCAUGGUAAUUAUUUGCCCUUCGUGCAGCAGGGUAUACAAGCUUACCUAUAAAAGGUUCUGAAUGUAUUACUUUGUAAGAAGGAGCUGCUAUUAAUAAUAGCAUGAUUCUAAUAAUAAUGUAUUACUAUGAAUUAUAUUUCCAGAAUGGUUGUAGAAGAUUUGAUUUUCUUUUCUUAUGAAAAUUACUGCAAGCGUUAACCUUGGAAAUCCAAGAAGGUUGUGGAAGAACUCAUAGCUAUUCCCAAACGUACAGGAAAUAAAAUUACUUAAUCUUGGAGGGUCUUGAUUACUUAUGGUGAAGAAAUAAGCAGAAGUCUUCAUGCUGUUUGAUCCCUAGCAUCUGUUUUGUUUAGAGAAUUUUGACAUCAUAAACUAGGAAUUUGUAAAACUGUGUGUGUGUGUGUGUGUGUGUGUGUGUGUGUGUUUCCUGCAUCAGGGAAGCAACCAUAUGUUAUACAGAUCUCAGCCUUUAAAUUUCUUUCUUUCUUUUUUUUUUUUUAAUUGUUUGAAAUAGAGAGAGCAUGU